GUUAAAAAAAAAAAAAAAGACUGGUAAGUUUUACCAAGCAGAUCAUAAGCUAUGGAUUUGAUUCAUAUUUCUGUGUGUAUAAAUAGUGGAUGGAGCUGGUUGCAGCUCCCACACUUUCCCAUCUGUUCCAGAUCCUUUAAAAUGAUAGAAAAAAAUGCAGUGUUCACAGCAACAGGAGAAAACACAAAAGAAUGCUGUUAGAGGGUUAAAGAGUCGCAAAAAACUUAGCAAAAUGGGGUUAAAUUGACAGACAAGAGCCCAGGAAAAACUGCCGCCCACAGGAAGCAAGGUGGAAAGAACCGAGCAGGGGACAGCUGCUCACAGCUGAGCUCCAGGAGGGGCCCUGGCCUGGGCUAGCCAAAGGCUGGCCCUGACCUGUCCCCACACCCAGAGCUGUAGCUACAGGAGGAUUUGGGCCAUGACACCAGGCUGAGACCCCAGAGUUCACUCCAAAGAAGAUCCUGUGCCUGAGGAGGCCCUGGAGGGCUGUGGGCUUGCAGGAGGCCCGAGCCGGUGGGGAACACCGAGGCACCAGGCUCCCCGCCACCACAGACCCCAACACCCACACCACGUGCCCAGCACCCCCUUCUGGGGCGUGGGAGUAGGCACAACCCCCUGGGAAGACAUGGAGCUGGAAAGUCAGUGGGAGGACUAUGGCUUAAGACUUGGUAUGUGCUGAACAGGAGAAAGGCCCUGGCCCAGGCAGGACUUGGGGAACUAUAAGAAACAUCACAGGACUCCCCAGUUACAGAGGCAGCAGGGACAGCGAGAAAGUGGGAGCACUGUGGAUCAGUGCAAAGACCAUGUCCACCAGACAGAAGCGUCAGAAGAUGGAACAGAGUGGGAGAAGAACAAGUCAAAGCCCCAUGAAGGGCAUUUCUCAGGACUAAAGAAAACUGUGACUCCACAAACGAAAGGGCGGGAGAGGGGCCAGCCUAAGCCUGGGAAUGAGGGUUCCCGCUGGGCCGCAGCAAGGACUCCUGGGGCAGUCAGAGCCCUCCUGCCAAAGUCAGCCAGAAAAUCUACCUGAAAUAUGCCCCCAUAUGGGCAAAGACCCUAGAAAAGAGACAGCAAUUCUUUUUUGUUUGUUUGUUUGUUUUUGUUUUCGUACCAGAAAUUGAACUCAGAGGCACUCAACCCCUGAGCCAGGUCCCCAGCCCAAUUUUGUAUUUUAUUUAGAGACAGGGUCUCACUGAGUUGCUGCGCCUCACUUUUGCUGAGGCUGGCUUUGAACUCGGAAUCCUCCUGCCUCAGCCUCCCAAGCUUCUGGGAUUACAGGCCUGCACCCUGGCGCCCAGCCUCUAUUUACUUUUUGAAACAGGGUCUCUCAAAGUUUAUGAGGCUGGCCUGCAACUUGUGAGUUACAGGGGUUACAGACCUGGGCUUCUGCAUCUCAGAGGAGGCCAGAAAUCUGAAACCAAGGUGCUGUUGGGACUGGUGUGCUAAGAUCUCUUCCUGGCUGUGGGCGGUCCCUUCUCCCUGUCCCCUCACCAGCCUUCGCUCUGUGCCUGCAGACAGGGAGUGUUCCUUGGUGUCUCUACAGCCGGGAUACUUUGGGCCUCACCCUAUGACCUCAGUUAACCUUCACUACCUGCCCAGUGGCUCUGGAUCCAAGCAGUCCCAUUGGGAAUUAGGCUUCCUACAUGAAUCUGGGGACAGGCUCAGUCCCUAAAGUGCAGUGACAAGAAGUGAGUCCCACAGCAGUUCUUGAACCUGUAGGGUGGGAGCACGUGGCAAUGACCUGCCAGAUGGGGGCUCUGAGAGGCUUCAGCUAAGGGCACCAUGGGCCAGAGGGUAGGAGUGGGUUUUUACAAAGAAAACCAAAUGAUCCAAGAGAUCCUUGGGAGAAGAAGAUAUUGACAUAGUCAGACAAGAAAGCAGCAGAUUAAUAUGUGCAAGAAAAUAGACGGAAAUCUUCAGCAGAGGAGGAGCAUGUCUAAAAAAGGGGAUGCAGGAGUGACAGGGACUCUUAGAGUGGUUUUGAUUUGCAUUUCUCUGAUUGCUAGAGAUGGUGAGCACUUUUCCAUAUAUUUGUUGAUGGACUGUAUUUCUUCUGUGGAGCGUCUGUUCAGUUCCUUGGCCCACUCAUUGAUUGGGG
rnacentral:lncRNA from 1 species